CCGGCCAAGCCAGCACUGGUGAGGAGAAGUGGCAGCUGAGCUGUGAGUUGCUCGGGACCGGACGGGCCAGGCCAGUGGAGAGAGAAGUAGAGUGGUCAAACUGCCGUACUGGAAGAUAAGACCUCCUGUGUGCUAGCUGUGGCUCUGCUAUUGAUUGGUUGCAUGGUCUUGACCUUUCAGAUUGAAAUAGGAUCAGGAAUGGGAAACGGGACCAGAAAUGACCGCGUUUAUUUGGACAAAAUUUUCUUAUAAAUAAUUGGCCAGUUUCAGAAAACUCAACCCAUUUUUGGAGGGUUUGUUUUAUUAAACAUUAACAACAUUUCUUUAUAAAGGCUCGCCACUGUUUCAUUCCAUACCACCUACAUCUGGGAUCCACAGUCCUGUCCCAGGUAAGAGUUGAGGCUCUGCCAAGCCAGCACUCUCUGGGCAUGCCCCGUCCUGGGGCCGCUGAUCACUCCCGGCCACAUUGGGCCUUCCAGAGGACCCACUUCCAGUCCUUGCCCACUGUUGUCCGGCAGGAUUUUCAUUCAUCCUCUGAGGGCCAGGUGGUGAACCAGCAUAGGCACACUGCCAUAAAGCGUGCUCAUGCUGGUGUGCGUGCAUACACUGGUUCUCCCACAAACCGCUGCAGAUGCUUCAGCUUUUCUUCUUCUGG